rnacentral:rRNA from 1 species
ACGCUCGACACCUACGGGAUGCAGCAGUGAGGAAUAUUGGUCAAUGGGCGCAGGCCUGAACCAGCCAAGUAGCGUGAAGGAUGACUGCCCUAUGGGUUGUAAACUUCUUUUAUAUGGGAAUAAAGUUUUCCACGUGUGGAAUUUUGUAUGUACCAUAUGAAUAAGGAUCGGCUAACUCCGUGCUAGCAGCCGCGGUAAUCUGAGCGGGCUGGCAAGGC